ACAUUUUAAACAGUUUUUUUAAAUUUUGAUUAGAAUUUUGAAACAAGUGAACGAAAUAGAAAGGAGUCGAAAUGAAGAUUAACCACUUACCCAAGCAGAAGCGUCGUUCAAGUGUGGUGAUUUUUUAUUUGGUUUCUGAAGCUAGGUACAACAAUUUGGAAGCUGGAUUUCCCAGUCAAGAGUGAUCUUAGGACAUCUAAGAACUAAAUGAAAUAAUUUAAAAGAGUAAGAAAAGACUUACCUCAUCAAGAAGAAGAAAUUUCCUCCUCGAACACGCACACAGAACACACGUUCUGUUCUGGUGCGCUGCAACCUUUCUGGUUGCAGUUUUGGAUUUCUACUUCACUCCUCACACACUCUUUUGUCGAUGUUUUGGUUCAAGAUUAAAGGAAAACAAAAUUGUGAAGAGAAGUGGAGCCUUUUAUCUAAAUCAACUCAGCAUCUCAGCCAUCCAAACACAUGCACAACUUCUUAGCUGUUGAUGUGUUGAAUGGCUAACACAGCAGAGGAAGACGGUCGCUUCUCUUGACACCAGGCCGAUCAGGAUAGUUGCUCACUUGGUGGCUGAGUUCUGGCCACAAUUGGGAAGAUAAGUGAUGUCAAAUCAGGGGCACCGAUCUACCCCAGAAUGCUGAUCGGUUAAAGGAGUUCCUCUCCCUCUCGAUGGUUAGUUUUCUUUUUAAUUUUAAUUUCCUUACCUCUGUUUUAUUUCAU
rnacentral:lncRNA from 1 species